GAUGAAGAACGCAGCGAAAUGCGAUAAGUAAUGUGAAUUGCAGAAUUCAGUGAAUCAUCGAAUCUUUGAACGCACCUUGCGCUCCUUGGUAUUCCGAGGAGCAUGCCUGUUUGAGUGUCAUUAAAUUCUCAACUUUAUCAGUUUUGUUAUGAAACUAUGUGAAGCUUGGAUGUGGGGGUUUGUGCAGAAUGCUUCAUUGUAGAACUGCUCCCCUUAAAUGAAUUAGCGAGUUCAAACUGAGUUCCAUCUAUUGGUGUGAUAACUAUCUACGCCAUGGAUUGAGCUUAGACUUGCUUCUAACCGUCUGCAAAGACAAUCUUUUGAAAAUUUGACCUCAAAUCAGGUAGGACUGCCCGCUGAACUUAAGCAUAUCAAUAAGCGGAGGA
rnacentral:misc_RNA from 1 species